CCUGGCUAAUUUUUUGUAUUUUUGGUAGAGACAGGGUUUCACGACGUUGGCCAGGCUGGUCUCAAACUCCUGAUCUCAAGUGAUCCGCCUGCCUCUGUGUCCCAAAUUGCUGGGAUUACAGGCAUGAGCCACCGCACCGGCCAUGCUUUCAGUUUUCAAGAAAGAAGACACCAUUAUUGCCAAAGAUUUUGGUAAUUUGAGAGAUACAAUGUAUGUUUUCUCCAUGUGGAUACUAGAUAGUAAGGAUGUGUUGAAUUUGAAGUGUCUAUCCAGAAGUAUUUUGGGUACUUGUUUAAGGAUUGUAAAACAAUGUUUCCAUUUCUGGAUAUAAUAAAUGUAUUUGUUAAUAUAAUAAAUGAAUAGAUUAGACCCAUAAACUAUUUGCAGUGUUGAGUCAUUUCCCACAGUUAAAAUCAGGAUGAAAAUAUAUAGCUGAAUACUUGCUUUGUUUCUUGUAACUGAUUUCUUUAGUACAGAACCUGCUAAGGCCAUCAAACCUAUUGAUCGGAAGUCAGUCCAUCAGAUUUGCUCUGGGCAGGUGGUACUGAGUCUAAGCACUGGAUGAAGAAGAUAGUAGAAAACAGUCUGGAUGCUGGUGCCACUAAUGUUGAUCUAAAGCUUAAGGACUAUGGAAUGGAUCUCAUUGAAGUUUCAGGCAAUGGAUGUGGGGUAGAAGAAGAAAACUUCGAAGGCUUAAUGAUGUCACCAUUUCUACCUGCCACGUAUCGGCGAAGGUUGGGACUCGACUGGUGUUUGAUCACGAUGGGAAAAUCAUCCAGAAAACCCCCUACCCCCACCCCAGAGGGACCACAGUCAGCGUGAAGCAGUUAUUUUCUACGCUACCUGUGCGCCAUAAGGAAUUUCAAAGGAAUAUUAAGAAGAAACGUGCCUGCUUCCCCUUCGCCUUCUGCCGUGAUUGUCAGCUUCUUGAGGGCUCCCCAGCCAUGCUUCCUGUACAGCCUGCAAAACUGACUCCUAGAAGGACCCCACCCCCCUCCCCCCACCCCUGCUCCCAGGAGGACAACGUGAUCACUGUAUUCAGCUCCAUCAAGAAUGGUCCAGGUUCUUCUAGAUGAUCUGCACAAAUGGUUCCUCUCCUCUUUCCUGUUGUCUGCCAUUAGCAUUGGAAUAAAGUUCCUGCUGAAAAUCCACAUCUCCCCUGGGUCCGGUGUUCUGGAAGUGAGAGAGACAAUGUCACACUUGAAGGAGGCAGCUCUCUAGACAGGAAGGUUAUUCACGUCCCAUGUCAAGUCUAGAGUUCAGAGCAAUUGAGAAAUGCAAUUUUAUCUGCUGCCUUUCAUUCUAUACCCUGCUUCUGAACCAUCGUGUUCAACUGUGAAACUCACACUUUGGUGACCACAACUCCAAAACUCACUUAAUACACCCAAGGUCAGCCCCAGUGAUCUGCUUCAUAGCAAGGACUUUGGGUGGGUCUGCCCAGGGAGUAGGGCACCCUCAGAGAAUGUGGCUUUGGACUUCAUCAUAGCUGGGGCCUUUUGUGUCACUUAAGAUCUAAACUUGUAACCAUGCUAGAUGUGUUUCUAAUGUGACAACAUCACGAACCACGAGUCCAGAAGCCUAAUCCUUAAUCCUACCUCCUCAUGAUGAAGUCUCAUGCUCUGUGCUCACCGUGGUUAGCUGCACAAGAUGUAAACCAAAGCUUCACUGAACCCUCGACCCAAAUCGGUAACUCAAGUGCGUCAAUCAUAAUGAACCUCCCCAAACUCAGUAUUUAUGAUUAUUUUUGAGGCAGGGUCUCACUCUGUCGCCCAGACUGGAGUGCAGUGGCAGGAUCAGGGCUCCGUGCAGCCCUGACCUUCCAGGCUCCAGCGAUCCUCCCGCCUCAGCCUCCUGAGUAGUUGGGAGUAGAGAUGCGUCCCACAUCGCCUGGCUAAUUUUUGUAUUUUUGUGGAGAGGGGAUCUCGCCACGUUGCCCAGGCUUGAAGCCGGAUCAAGCAAUUGGGUUCCUCGGAUUUCCAAAAUAGACCCCAAUAUUCUGCCUUUACCCCGGAGGAUGCAGAUGUACCUUCUCUCAGGCCGAUGACCUCAGGCCUCCACGGUCCCUGGAGCUCUAGGAAAGGCGAGCGCGAUCUCGCGCCCACACCCAGUGCUCUGGGUCAUAAGCCUGGAUCUGGAAAAACAAACGCCCUUUGAGAAGACGGGGACUCGCCAGGAUACCCCUCUCUCCCCUCAUCCAGCCUCCAGCCCACCCGAUUCCUCCCCACCUCCUCCACCUCCCCAGGCCCCACUCACCUCCUCCAACUCCUCCCGGGAAACCCAAGCCCUGCCGCUCAUGGAACAGAAGAACUGGAACCGAAGUUUCUGGAACAGG